rnacentral:rRNA from 1 species
UACGAACUGUGCGAUCGUUAUUCGGAAUCACUGGGCUUACAGGGUGCGUAGGCGGCUUAGCAAGUCAGGUGUGAAAGCCCCCGGCUCAACCGGGGAACUGCGCUUGAAACUGCUGAGCUCGAGUCAGCUAGAGGUACACGGAACUUCCAGUGGAGCGGUGAAAUGUGUUGAUAUUGGAAGGAACACCGGAGGCGAAAGCGGUGUACUGGGGCUGGUCUGACGCUGAGGCACGAAAGCCAGGGGAGCGAACGGG